UCUCACUGUAUUUGUUGAGGAAAUGUAAUAUGGAGCUAUGAGUGAAAUAAACCCUUUGCUCCCCAAAUUGCUUUUGUUAUGUUGUUUCAUCACAGCAAUCAUAACCCUAAGACAGGGGUAUUAGAAUUGCUCCUGACCAGUUCACUUCCUGUUCCUAAUGUUUAGUGGCAAGGAAUGAAUGUUCUGGACCUGUCCUGCCCCUCCAAUUCUUGUGAGAGAACACUUCCAAGUAAAUGGCAUUGGUGCUCUCAUUGAGGUUUCCUGGGUGCUAAGACUCCUCCAUCUGAAGACUGCUUUCAUAUCUGUGACUCAGAAGGGAAUUGUGGCUCUUAUAAUGCAAUGACUAUGAGAUCAGAGUGAUUAAGGUAGAGUCUGUAAGGGCAUGGAGGCUGCGAUGAAGGCUACCCAAGGAAUGAAGCCAGCAUAGUCUGCGGGGCAAAUGGUGGAGAUGGGACAGGGCAGUUUCAUCCAGCUCAAGAAGAGACAGAGGUGGGAACAGCUUGUGUUGUGGGUUAAUGGUGUCACACAGUGAUCAGUUUAACUUGUGUGCUGGUAGGUGUCAGGAUGAUGGAAAGGUAUUUAGUGUGAAGCAUGGAUUCUCUUUACAUCACCAGUCAUAGAAAGUGUGUGUUCAGAGCCAGGGAUGGAUGCACAUUCCUCUAGGAGGGGUAUAGGUGGACUAUAAGGUUACUAAUCAAUUGCUUAUCAUGGAAACACAGCAUAGUAUGUAAUGGCUACCUAUGGAACAGGGUAUCAGGAGUAGGUAAUGGAAAAUAAUGGAAAAGGGCACUUACAUGAGACUUAUUACAUAUUUAGAACAUGUGGACUUCUGCAACUAUGUAAAUAUGGUUGGAAGAAUAAGCAGCAGCGUUGGUGUAGGUUCCUGUUCUGUGGAAUACAUAGCAAACUGACAGAAGAAAGUGGAGGAGGCAUUGCUCAGGCAUCAUCUGCUAAAGGACAGAUAUUGUCUUAUUUACCAGCAGCCACUGAUUUGUGAAAGGUAUGUGUGAGAGACAUUGGUUGCACUGUUCUUCUUGCACUGUUCUGUAACAUGAGUUUUCUGGUUCGGCAGGUCCUGUUGCCCUUCUCUGCUCCGAAGAAACAUGUAGAUGCUAUAUUUGUUAUAAAGCUGUUGUCAGGGAUGGAGAGAUGGCUCAGGGGUUAAGAGCACUGACUGUUCUUCCAGAGGUUCUGAGUUCAAUUCCCAGCAACCACAUGGUGGCUCACAACCAUCUGUAAUGUGAUCUGGUGCCCUCUUCUGGCACGCACUGUAUACAUGAUAAAUAAAUAAAUAAAUCUUAAAAAAAAAUAAAGCUAU
rnacentral:lncRNA from 1 species